CUAUAUUUUGUAUGUUUCCGCUUUCAACUGCGGUAAAAAAUAUGGGUUGGGGUGGAGGUGUUGUUACCGGCCUGUUGCAUAAACAGAUUCGAAAGUGCUCGUGAGGCGUCUCCACGUGUUGGAAGAAACGGAAUUUUGUAAGACAAAAUGGAAUUUCUAGUGCAACGUGGCUUAACGAUGAGAAAGCUUGGAAAUAGUGCGGUGACAGGUCUGUGAGGUGAUCGAUGCCUGGGAAUAUAAUUAAUCCAGCUAGGGCCCUAGUGUUCCAAAGGCGGUGGAGCUUGAGAUCCGCAG
rnacentral:lncRNA from 1 species